GGUUAAUGACGAUAAAUCCAAAGGCUUGUUCUCAGAGAUAUUCACAGUGGCUGCGUAAGAUCUUUCGCCUUUCGCCAGGCUUGAAAGGUUAUGCUGUUUUUUCCUUCCUUCGAUGUCUGAAACC